UACGUAGGGUGCGAGCGUUGUCCGGAAUUAUUGGGCGUAAAGAGCUUGUAGGCGGUUUGUCGCGUCUGCUGUGAAAAUCCGGGCUCAACCCCGGACUUGCAGUGGGUACGGGCAGACUAGAGUGUGGUAGGGGAGACUGGAAUUCCUGGUGUAGCGGUGAAAUGCGCAGAUAUCAGGAGGAACACCAGUGGCGAAGGCAGCCCCCUGGGCUGAGAUUGACGCUCAGGCACGAAAGCGUGGGAGCGAACAGG
rnacentral:rRNA from 1 species